UACAGAGGGUGCAAGCGUUGUUCGGAAUUAUUGGGCGUAAAGCGCGUGUAGGCGGCUUUGCAAGUCGGGUGUGAAAUCCCUCAGCUCAACUGAGGAAGUGCGCCCGAAACUGCAGAGCUUGAGUACCGGAGAGGAUGGCGGAAUUCCCCAAGUAGAGGUGAAAUUCGUAGAUAUGGGGAGGAACACCGGUGGCGAAGGCGGCCAUCUGGACGGAGUACUGACGCUGAGACGCGAAAGCGUGGGGAGCAAACAGGG
rnacentral:rRNA from 1 species